UGGGGAAUAUUGCACAAUGGGCGCAAGCCUGAUGCAGCCAUGCCGCGUGUAUGAAGAAGGCCUUCGGGUUGUAAAGUACUUUCAGCGGGGAGGAAGGGAGUAAAGUUAAUACCUUUGCUCAUUGACGUUACCCGCAGAAGAAGCACCGGCUAACUCCGUGCCAGCAGCCUCGGUAAUACGGAGGGUGCAAGCGUUAAUCGGAAUUACUGGGCGUAAAGCGCACGCAGGCGGUUUGUUAAGUCAGAUGUGAAAUCCCCGGGCUCAACCUGGGAACUGCAUCUGAUACUGGCAAGCUUGAGUCUCGUAGAGGGGGGUAGAAUUCCAGGUGUAGCGGUGAAAUGCGUAGAGAUCUGGAGGAAUACCGGUGGCGAAGGCGGCCCCCUGGACGAAGACUGACGCUCAGGUGCGAAAGCGUGGGGAGCAAACAGG
rnacentral:rRNA from 1 species